UGCUUCAGCCAUACGUUUAUAAUAUAUAUGUAUACAUGUAUAUAAACAUGUAAGUAAAGUACUAUUUGAAAUUAAAAAAAUAUCAGGUCUCACAGCCUCCUACCCCUCCGUCAAUAAUCAAGGUCAUUGGGCUAUUGUAUGGAAUCGAGACUCCUCCGGAUCCUUCUCUGUUGCUUCGGCAUGUGCUCUUCUUGUGGAGGAUGAGUGGGAUGACUCCAAGCCUUUGUGGAAGCUUAUAUGGAAGUGGAGGAGCCCUCAACAGGUACCAAGUUUUUUGUGGCUAGUGGCGUAUAAUGGGCUGAUGACUAACGCUAAUUUGGUAGCCCGCCACAUCUCCACCUCGGCGCUUUGUCAUCGUGUGGGAGGGAAGAGGAGACAGUAAUCCAUGUCCUGCGGGAUUGCAUGCGCACCCGAGACCUCUGGUUGAAGAUUGUCCUUUAGGGUUUUCGUCAACCCUUCUUCUCUCUUUCCCUCGAGGACUGGUUGGUCUUUAAUCCGUAAAAAACGGGGAGUAUGGAGAUGCCGGGGUGCUGGGCAGGAGUGUUUGCGGUCAGGUGCUGGCUUUUAUGGUUUUGGCGUUACAAGGAGAUACUUGAAGAGGGAUUUAGGAGACCAACUAACGAAGGGGGCGUCCAUAGUAAAUAUUGCCUCAUCAUUCAUGCAUGCCGGUGAAUAUUGCCUCGUCACUCAUGCAUGCCGGUGCAUCAGACGAAAAGAAAAUAGUCUGAAUGUAGAUGGGGCCAAAAUUAGAAACAAGGCCACAAUUUAACAAGAAACAUUCGGGCAAACACUCAAUUCAGACAAAAGCAAUACGUGAAAUGAUCUUUUCGAUCCCAUCAGCAACAUAAGUACGACCCAUGGACAGGGGCAAGGCAAUGACAUUGGAAGAAAAGUCACAAUGGUGAGGGGAGAUCUAACAACAAAGGGUAGAGUCCAGAGCAGCAGUAGCCCCUAGCAAAUAGUGUUCUGAAGGAGGCCGGUCAGUGAAUUGCAGCGGCUCACUACAUCUUGCGGCAAAUUGAGGCAAGAUGAUCGUUCAAGUGACAGGGUCAAGUUGGGGUAAGGCUGCAGCGAUCAACAGAAACCUCAAGAGGAUGGGGCAUAGUAAGGCGAAGUUUGAGGCUUGGAGGAGGGCAGGGGCAGAGGAAAGGGGGUCAAGCGGAAAGAAAACCGAAUGUCUUAAGCAGAGCGCCCAGUGAAUUGAGUGGUUCUUUUGGGUGGCCACUAGAAAAUAGCGUUGAUAGAAAAGAGCAAGAUUGAAUGGAUUGAUGAAGGUACCCUGAGGGGUUGGAAUCGUAGAAUGGUGCUGAAAUGUAGGAGGUGUUGACGCUGUUGCAAGAAGGCCUCUCUGCAUAAGGUAAAAGCAGCGGGAGAUGCGCUGAAAGCAGGACCGGCUGUUUCUUCACUCUGUUGCAUUGCAAGAAAAGCCCCUCUGCAUCGUUAAAAGCAGUGGAGGCGCUGGAAAAAAGCCUCCCGCCCACCACCGACCAAGGUGAGGUCUCCAGCAAGAGUAGAGGUUGUCGGCAACCUCACCCUAGGCAAUGGUGGCCGGGAUUGGGGCCACCACCGCCCCUACCGUUCGGUCACUCUUCCCCUGACCCCCCUCCUUUCUCUCUCUACGAUUUUUGACCAAAAAUGAAGAAAUGACUAAAUUGCAAUUACAAAAAUGUUUAGAGGUCUCACUGUAAAUAUCAGAAAAUUGACCCCUGUUGAGCUCAUUAAUUCAGAAAAAAAAAGGUAGAAAAUUUUUACUUAAUUGAUUAAGUCAUCACCCAUAGAUUUUUUACAUAAUUUAAUCAAUAAGUCAAUUUGAAUUGCAUUUACCAAACAAGUUGAAUUGAAUCAAGUGUUGAAAAAUUAAUUUCAACACUUAAUUUUGGUUAUCAAACCCACCUGGUUUUUAGGUUCUUUUUGCUAUUAGUUGAACAUUUGACUUGACUAUUGGAUCAUGAAUUACUUACUUGGGUGAAGAGAUCACUUGACUUUUGUUAAGCAGUUCAUAAGAUUGGAUUGAUUUAUGCAUUAUACGUAGGGUAAUGCUAACAGGUAUUACAUGUAAGCCGUGAUAUUGGUGAAAUCCCCGGCGAUAGCCAUGACGCCGAGUGAGGCAGCAACGAACACACACUGCCCCACCCUAAGUGCCAUUCCGAUAUGCGAUGCAGGCAUACCCAAAAAAGCAGACGCUAAGUUAAACCAUAACCAGCCGCACCCUUGAAUAUAUAUGUUGAUGACGAGUAUGACCAAGCAUCUCGAGGACGGACUGGAGGCGUGAAGACUGUUAUGCACGGGUUCUGAAACCAAUAAAGAGAGCAAAAGGCAGAGGAUUUUCCAAUGUCAUGUCAUGUACCUUUUGUAGGUUUCCUCGUGCAACAUUUUCAUGGUGAAGGAUAAAGUAAUUUCAACUCUCCCACCACAAACGGGACGAUCCAGCUCUCUGGUGUCACAAGGAAAAGCACAAUAGAAAUUGCUCGUGAUCUCGGGUACCAGGUCGAGGAACAAGCUAUUCUGGUGGAAGAACUGAUGGGCGCUGAUGGAAGUCUUUGGCACUGGAACUGCUGCAGUAGUUGCACCAGUCGGUAGCAUAACAUACAAGGACAAGAGAUCAGAUGCUGAGGCCGUGCGCAGGAUGCUGUACAACACUUUCGUUGGGAUUCAGACGGUUGUCAUCGAAGUCUAGUUCAGGAGGACCGUGGAGAUCAAGUGAGGAGAUCUGCAAUUCUAAGGGCGAACUUCCUGGUUCAAUCAUGUUGAGUAGAUCUGCAUGAAUGCAAACUAUUGUUGUUCGCUUGUUGAAUUACCUGUACACGGACAUCAGCAAGGAACAUUGAUGUAUACUUUUGUGAAUGGAACUUUAGGAAACAACAUUUUGCAACUGAU